rnacentral:lncRNA from 1 species
AUGGGUGCCGUGUGGGCCGUGGAUGCGUGGAUCCACUGCCUUGUUCACGGAGGAUGUUUGGAGGGUUCUAACCGGCCCCUCUCUUUCCCUUGCAGUUACUUGGCUGAGCAGUGCUGGAAUGGCGGCUUCAUCUACCUGAUCAUGCUACGCCGCUUCAAGCACCAAGUCCAUUCUUACAACGGCAACAGUAGCAACAGCUCCGAACCAGGAGAGACGCCUACCUUGGAGCUGGGGGACCAAACAGUGAAAAAGGGGAAGAGAGCAAGAAAGUUUGGGGUCAUUGCCAGGCCUUCUACCCACAAAGCUGCUGAAGACUCCAAGAGCAGUACUGGCUGUGAGUUGGACCACGACCCCGUGUCUGAGCUGGACAAUGGCCUAGACCCUGAACUGGGAAACGGUCAUGCUUUUGAGCUAGAAAAUGGCCCGGAUUUGCUCAAGGAGGUGGCUGGAUCCCAUCUAGAUAGGUCGGAAUUGGACAGAGGGACAGAGCCUAGAAUUCCAAAGACAGAUGCACCUCUGCCCACAAGCAAUGACAAACGCCGCUUCUCAAAAUCUGGGAAGACAGACUUCCAAUCCAGCGACUGCCUGGCACGGGAGGAAGUUGGCCGGAUAUGGAAGAUGGAGCUGCUUAAAGAAUCGGAUGGGCUGGGAAUUCAGGUUAGUGGAGGCCGAGGAUCAAAGCGCUCACCUCACGCUAUCGUUGUCACCCAAGUGAAGGAAGGCGGUGCCGCUCACAGGGAUGGCAGACUGUCCUUAGGAGAUGAGCUGCUGGUAAUCAAUGGUCACUUACUAGUCGGGCUGUCCCACGAGGAAGCUGUGGCCAUUCUUCGCUCAGCCACUGGUGUGGUUCAGCUGGUGGUGGCCAGCAAGGAGAACUCUGCCGAGGACCUCCUGAGGCUGACGUCUAAGAGUCUGCCUGACCUGACCAGCUCCACAGAGGACGUUUCCUCUUGGACUGACAACGAAGACCAGGAGCCAGACGAGGACGAAGGCACCGGCUCAUCUUCUGUCCAGAGAGCAAUGCCUGGAACAGAGGAGCCCCACGAUGCAUGCGGCCCCGAGGAAUCCAAGGGGAACUUGGAAAGUCCCAAACAAGGCAGCAGUAAGAUGAAGCUCAAGAGUCGCCUGUCAGGUGGUGUACACCGUCUCGAGUCUGUUGAAGAAUAUAAUGAACUGAUGGUGCGACAUGGUGACCCCCGGGCCAGGAUGUUAGAGGUCUCCCGAGAUGGCCGGAAGCAUUCCCUUCCCCAGCUCCUGGACUCGACGGGCACAUCACAGGAAUACCACAUUGUGAAGAAGUCCACCCGCUCACUAAGCACAACUCAGGUGGAAUCUCCCUGGAGACUCAUUCGGCCGUCAGUCAUCUCCAUCAUUGGGCUGUACAAAGAAAAGGGCAAGGGCCUUGGCUUUAGCAUUGCUGGAGGUCGAGACUGCAUUCGAGGACAGAUGGGGAUUUUUGUCAAGACCAUUUUCCCAAAUGGAUCGGCUGCAGAGGAUGGAAGACUUAAAGAAGGGGAUGAAAUCCUAGAUGUAAAUGGAAUACCAAUCAAGGGCUUGACAUUUCAAGAAGCCAUUCAUACCUUUAAGCAAAUCCGGAGUGGAUUGUUUGUCUUAACGGUACGCACCAAGUUACUGAGCCCAAGUCUCACACCCUGCUCCACACCCACACACAUGAGCAGAUCAAGCUCCCCAAACUUCAAUGCCAGCGGGGGAACCUCAGCGGUGGGCAGUGAUGAAGGCAGUUCGUCCCUGGGUCGGAAGGCCCCCGGACCCAAGGACAGAAUCGUCAUGGAAGUAACCCUCAACAAAGAGCCCAGAGUUGGCUUAGGCAUCGGUGCCUGCUGCUUGGCCUUAGAAAACAGCCCUCCAGGCAUCUACAUUCACAGCCUUGCCCCAGGAUCAGUGGCCAAGAUGGAGAGCAAUCUGAGCCGCGGAGAUCAAAUCCUGGAAGUGAACUCUGUCAACGUCCGCCAUGCUGCUUUAAGCAAAGUCCACUCCAUCUUGAGCAAAUGCCCCCCAGGACCCGUUCGCCUGGUCAUCGGCCGGCACCCUAAUCCAAAGGUUUCCGAGCAGGAAAUGGAUGAAGUGAUAGCACGCAGCACUUAUCAGGAGAGCAAAGAGGCCAGUUCCUCUCCUGGCUUAGGUACCCCCUUGAAGAGUCCUUCUUUUGCAAAAAAGGACUCCCUGAUUUCUGAAUCUGAACUCUCCCAGUACUUUGCUCACGAUGCCCCAGGCCCACUGUCUGACUUCAUGGUGGCCGGCUCUGAAGACGAGGACCCUCCAGGGAGCGGUGGCAGCAGCAGCUCCGCGGAGCCCCCCGGCACAUCCCCAGCUCACAAGGAGCCAGGAAAAGCCAGGGCCAACAGCCUUGUGUCUCUUGGAAGCCAACGGACCUCUGGGCUCUUCCACAAGCAGGUGACAAUUGCCAGGCAAGCCAGUCUUCCUGGGAGCCCAGAGGUCCUCCGGAACCCCCUCCUCCGCCAGAGGAGGGUGGGCUGCUCUGAUGACGACGCCAGCGAUGAGGAAGAGUUUGAUGGCGAAGGCGACUGUAUUUCCCUCCCAGGGACCCUCUCAGGUCCCAGCAGGCCGCUGACAGAGGACGACUCUACACGUGUUUCAACAGCCUCUUCCAAGGUCACAGGUAUCAACCGAGAGGAACACCCCAAGAAAACACUGGUCAGCAAGGCCUCCUCGGUGCCUCUCCUCGGCAGCUCGCUGGACUUCCAGGAGAGCCUCCCAGGAGGCGUGCGGGACCCCCUUUCCCAUGCACCCAGCCUGCUGGUCCCAUCAGAGGCCCCCAAGGGUAGCCCUGGCUGCUCAGGGAGGAAGGAACUGUCAGGAUCGAGGAGCUCGCCCAAACUGGAGUGCAGAGCUGGGACAGGCACCCAGGGUCCAGCAAGCACAGACAGCUCCAGUUCCCUCCAGCAGAAUGACAGCCUGGGGUCCAGGCACAAGCCCGUGACCAGGGUCAGCCCACACCGCAAGAGGCCUGAGGCUGAGGCCAGGCCUAGCAGCACAGAGGCAGCACAGCUGACCGAUGGAGCCAGUGACCCAUGUGGUGCUGACUUGAAAGUCCAGGAUAGUUCCAACCAAGUGACUGUGACUGGUUAUCGGCCAGGAGGAGCUGUGGAGAAGGAAUCUCUGGACAAGCUGUCCGUCGGGGAUGGACGAGUCCCCACUGACUGUGGACCAGGUGGUGCCCUGCCCCACCCGGCUGCCAGCCACCCUACAGAGAACCCACCUGAAGCAACAUCCAAGCAGGGGCAGCAACCCGGGACAGGACCAGAUGGCUCCCCAGACCCUCUCCCUUCCCCAGGGCAGAAGGGGGCAGCUCACCCUGACCCCAGCCAGACCUCAGUGGACACAGGGCCAGCGAGGCGACCUGAGGACCCUGGAGGGCCAGAGUCUCCCAGGAUCCCCAAGUCUGAGGACAGCACAUCCCCAGGGACAAUGGCAACGGCUCAUCCUGACCUCCAUGAGAUUAGAGCAGCUCCCAACGCCAGCUUGCCCUGCGCCGCCUGGAAGGCAACGACCCCCAGGGGAGCAGGACCCACGGCUGAGGGGGCACCUCUGACUGGUGCUGGGCUGCCACGAGACCUCACGUCCGGGGAGGAGAGCCAAGAGGGGGUUCCGGGUCACCAUGCCAAGGCUCUGCAAACCUCAGUGGUCCUUGUCCCUGGAAACUUCCGGGGAUCGGCUCUGCCCCAGGGAACAGACUCGGGGUCUGCCAGUCCCCUGCAGGCUGGCCCGACCCUGCCAUUGCCAAGUGACAAGGCCCAGGAGGCAUGUGGGGGUCCCUUGGGGCCUGGCUGCCUCGGAGGGAACGGGCGCUGCCCAGUGACGGACAUCGACAGGCUCCUGGUGGAACCAGGUGCCUCUGGAGCAAGACUUCCCUCCCUCGGGAAAGGGGACCAGCUGAGCAGAGAGCAGGCUGCCCAGGGGCCACAGCCAGCCUCAGGGAGUCCGAGCCCUGCCCCAAGGAGGCCCGGGGCGGCUGGUCCAGCCCCUCCCCCUCAGUGGGCCGGCCAGCCUUCGGUUUUGGAUUCCAUCAAUCCUGACAGACAUUUUACUGUGAACAAAAGCUUUCUGAGCAACUACUCUAGGAAUCUCAGCAGUCUCCACGAAGACAGCACCUCACUGUCGGGCCUGGGCGAUAGCACCGAGCCAUCCGUGUCCCUCUCAUCCAUGUACGGGGAUGUGGAGGACUCGUCCUCAGACCCCGAGUCACUCACUGAAGCCCCGCGAGCUCCCACCCGGGACAGCUGGUCCCCUCCUCGUCCUCGUCCUCCUGAGCCUUCUCACAAGGGAGACAUGACGGAGUCCGAGGAGGAGCAAGUGGAAAUCUGUUCCACGGAUGGCUCCCCCGAUAGACCCUUAGCCACUGCCCUUGCUCCUGCCCGGGUGGCUGCCUGCCCUGCCCUCUCCACAGCCCUGCCACCAAAGGACGGAGCCCUGAGCCAGGUGGGGGCAGAAGCGAGCCACACAGCCCGCUUCGUGCCAGGCACCUCCACCCCUCCGCAGCCACCUCCUCCUCUGUCAGGCGUGAGUUCUCAGGAGGCAGAGCCACCUGAGGAUGCAAGGGUCUCCCAAGACCACAGGUCCCCGAGUGAAGAGGACUCUGGGGAAGCCACCCAGCCUCCUCCAGGUACCAGGCCUGUCCCCAGCUCCCCAGGCACCCUCGGUUCUCCUAACAUGGUGAAUGGUUUGGAGUGUGACCGUUUGGAUGACAAGACGCCAGCUGAGAAACAAGAAACAGAUGUUCAUACUGCUGAAAACCAAGCCUCCUUCAGGGCAUGUGUCCCCAAGAACGGAGACUCAGCUCUGGGAAACCUGCAUAUCUCCAGAGGUCAAGGCCCAGAGGACUUGCUGCCAAAGCCAAAAGCCAUCUCCCGGCGGCCCCUCAUGGCCUGGUUUAAAGAGAUAAAUAAGAACAACCACGGGACACAUCCACAGAGCAAAACUGAAACGGAACAGUCCACGCUGCUGGCCGGAAGCCCCGACCCCAAGGCCCAGGUGCCGAGCUUCAGCCACAAGAAGGGGGUGCCUGUGCCAGAUAGUCCCCCUCCUCGGCUGGACCUUGAGAAUAAAGACUUGCCUGGGAAGAAUUCUGUGGAAACCCUUUUGAGUAACUGUCAGAAACCCAAAGCUGGUCCUAAGCUGAAGAGACUGAGCAUCAGAAGCAAAGGCAAAGUCAGCUCCGAGGCCCCGGCUGUUCACGCGGGGAAGUCAGGCAGCUCAGAGCACAAGAAAGCCCUCGUCUCACCCCAGGCCUCCCACAAAAUGCUUUCCAAGGUGGCGUCGCACCGGUGCCACACAGCCGGCCACGAGGAACCAGACACGACUGCCGCAGCUGCCCCCCAGCCUCCCCAGAGUGUGGAGGGCAAGGUGCCCCCUGGGACCCCGGGCUCCCUGAAGCCCUCGGCAUCUGACUCAAGCAUCAGGAUGUUUGUUUCGCCCGUGACCACCCCCAAGACCCUUCCUGAGCAAGGUGGGUGCGGUAGGCUCCACCCGGCGGUGCCUGCAGAACCCAACCGAGGCUGCCUGGCUGCCCCCAGCCCUCCCAAGUGUGGUCCAGAGAGCAGGGCUCCCCUGGCAUCCCCGGGGCCAGCAAGUCCCACGGCACCGAGGGGUGGCACGUCCAUGGUGGCCAGCAAGCGGGAGGUCCCGACUCCCGGGCAGGGUGAGCGGUUCCCGUCCAGCCAAACAGACUCCACAGCAGAAGCAGCCCUGCCCGGGGUGACUGGUGACAAAAGAAGCAAAAUAAUUGCCGGUGGGCCUCCCGAAAGAACCAAGCAGCUGAAAAUCAUUGAGAUCCCUUCUGAAAGGAUGCCAAAGAGCACAUGUGGUGACAUGCCGGCUGAAGGGGACACGCAGGGUGGGCUCUUGUCCCAGAGCAGCCAUCAGGAGGAGAGUGAGGUUGGGCUCUGUCACCAGCCAGGGGAGUCCUCCCCAAACCACCCGUCCUCACUCCCAACCCGGGUCUCCCAGGUGGAGCUAGAAGUGCAGCAGCGAUCCAUCAGCCUGGCAAGACUCUCCUCCUCUUCCUCCCCGCAGCUGCUGGCUAGAAAGGCCGAUCCCGGCCAAAUGGCCGAUGCCCUGGGGGUGCCCAGGAACAGCCCACCAGUGGGCCCAGUGCUGGACGAUCAUCCCUACUUCACGCCAAGGCCAGCGACCAGGACCUACUCCAUGCCGGCCCAGUUCUCCAGUCUUUUUGGCCGGGAGGGCCAUGCCCCACAGAGCCCAGGGCGCGCCCCUCGGGAUGCCCAGAUCCCUGGCACCAGCGGGGGCCUCCUCGAGGCCAAGGCGUCCAGAGGCGCCAUUCUCAGCCUGGCUAACGGGCAGGGUAUAUACAGCGUAAAGCCCCUGCUGGAGACUUCGGGGAACCUUCCAACAACAGACGAAGCAGAUGUCCUGUCCACCCAGGAAACCAGCUGCCAGCUCACAGACAGAGUCACAGUCACCAGGAGACAUCACUACUCCCCACAGAACUGGCCCCAUGAAUCCACCUCCUUUUUCUCUGUGAAGCAGAGGAUCAAGUCUUUCGAGAACCUAGCCCACUCUGACCGGCCCGCAGCCAAGGCCGGGGCCGCCUCCUCCUUGUCAGUGAGCUCCAAGCCUCCCAUUGGGAGACGGUCGUCCGGCAGCGUGGUUUCUGGGACCCUUGGCCACUUCAGUGACCCAACGGCGAGGUCACUGAGACGCAGCCUGAGUUCCUGCAGCGAAAGCCAAGGUGAAGCCGCCACCGUCGUCCCCCCGAUGACCAAGUCCCCGUCCAGCAUGACACUGACUGUCUCCCGGCAGACCCCAGCAGAUGCCCGUAGCAAGGGCACUGACUCAGACCCCAGGAGACCACCUGGUCCUUCGGGCAUCCCUGCCCCAACCGCAACCCCCGCCUCUCCCGCCAAGAGGAACAAGUCCUCGGUGCGUCACACGCAGGCCUCACCUCUGUCCCGCUCGAAGCUCCAGGAGCUGAGAGCCCUGAGCAUGCCCGACUUGGACAAGCUCUGCAGCGAGGACUUCUCAGCGGGGCCACCCGCUGUGCUCUUCAAAACCGAGCUGGAAAUCGUCCCCCGGAGGUCACUUGGCUCCCCUGCUGGGGGCCUCACUGGGUCCACUGCCCUUUCAUGCCCCAGGGAUGGGGCAGAAAGGGCCUAUCCCAAAGCCACUGACCCCAGAGCAUCCAGUUUAACCCAUGAUGUGGGUGAGACCACCCAGGAUCUGCCUUCCGGAAGAAGUUGGUCAGUUAAUCUGCAGCAGCUCCUGGUCUCAGCAGGGGAUCAGCAAAGACUGCAGUCCGUUCUGUCGUCAGUGGGGUCCAGGUCUACGGUCCUCUCUCUCAUUCAGGAAGCGAAAGCACAAUCAGAGAACAAAGAAGAUAUUUGCUUCAUAGUCUUGAAUAAAAAAGAAGGCUCAGGUCUGGGAUUCAGUGUGGCAGGAGGGACAGAUGUGCAGCCAAAAGCAAUUGUGGUCCACAGGGUGUUUUCUCAGGGGGCGGCUUCUCAGGUAGGGACUGUGAGCCGAGGGGAUUUCCUGCUGUCCCUCAACGGUGCCUCACUGGCUGGCUUAGCCCACGGGGAUGUGCUGAAGGCUCUGCACCAGGCACAGCUGCACAAAGAGGUCCUCCUGGUCAUCAAGAAAGGGAGUGAUCAGCCCAGGCCCUCCAGCCGGCAGGAGCCUCCCACAGCCAACGGGAAGGGCUUGGUGUCCAGAAAGACCAGCCCCCUGGAGCCUGGAACAGGGAGAAGCAUGGCUGUGCACGAGGCUCUGUGUGUUGAAGUGCUGAAGACCUCGGCCGGGCUGGGCCUGAGUCUGGAUGGAGGGAAGUCAUCCAUGUCUGGAGAUGGGCCCCUGCUCGUUAAAAGAGUGUACAAAGGCUUUCUAACAAGUGGCGUAAACCUGUGGACACACUGCACCUUCCACACAGAACGUCAUCCCUGGAGUCGCGCCGAUCCUGCUUACAGAGAGCUGGAAGCAGCAGCCUUCUGUAGAAGAACUGAGUUCUAG